rnacentral:misc_RNA from 1 species
UCUGAGACGGUGCUGCUGCUGUUGCUGCUACCCCGCUCCCCCCUGCCCGCUGAUGCGAAGCAGCGAACUACGCGAUGGACCUUCUCUUGUGCGCCGGCGCAUCGGCCGCCUUCAUCGCCGCCUUUUACGUCUGGCCGUGUGAGCGGCGCUUUGUUCUCUCCGGCAUGGCGUCGCUGUGCGCCGCUGCACGCGACCCAACCGUCUAUGUUGAUCGCGACAGCGAUGAAGCGAUCCGUAGACGCACGAUCUCGUUUGGCAUGUGCUGCCUUGUCAGUGGUACCUACCUUGCAUUCGGUACGGCGCCGCCUCGUACCGUCCAGCGGCAGAGCACUUUGCUGCGCCCGGUCAUCCGUUCUUCCGUGUCGACACUGCUGCUGUUUGCGGGACCCAUCGCGGAGGCGUGUCACCUCGGCACCUUCGACACACCGGAGAGCACGUUGCUGUUAUGGCGAAACUAUGUGAUCUGCCCGAUUGGGGAAGAGCUGUUCUAUCGCGGCGUUCUCUUCUCGCUUCUGCACCGCCGUUCCUCUGCAGCACGCAUUUUCGUUUCUGCCUUCCUCUUUUCGCUUUCCCACAUUCACCACCUUGUCUCUAUGGCAUGUGACGCGUACAGAAACUGCGAGGACAAAGGCGUGGCUGGUAACGACCGCGACGAGAAAGAGCGUGCGUGCUGGCGCUCAGCGGGGCACGCCAUGUGCGGCAUCUUUGUCUUUACCGCCCUAUUCGGCCUUUUGAGCGGGUACUAUUAUGAGCAUGUGUGUGAGCGUAGCAUAAUCGCCAUCGCUGCAGCCCACGCCCUGUGCAACGCCAUUGGCCCUCCGGAGUUCACAGUACUGCGGAGCCGUCAUUUCACUGCAAGAGAGAAGGUGGCAAGCGCAGCGAUCUAUGUCGCUGGUAUUGUAGGGUGGGCUUGGAUGCUGCUGCGCUACUGAACCCUUUCCCCCACGAAUACUGAUCGAUUGUCUUUGCUAGCAGCUGCGUUGAUGAACACCAGAGCGGUGUAGCGCUGAUC